rnacentral:rRNA from 1 species
UACAGAGGUCUCAAGCGUUGUUCGGAUUCAUUGGGCGUAAAGGGUGCGUAGGUGGCGCCGGUAAGUCGGGUGUGAAAUUCGAGGCUUAACUCCGAAACUGCAUUCGAUACUGCGGUGCUUGAGGACUGGAGAGGAGACUGGAAUUCAUGGUGUAGCAGUGAAAUGCGUAGAGAUCAUGAGGAAGACCAGUGGCGAAGGCGGGUCUCUGGACAGUUCCUGACACUGAGGCACGAAGGCCAGGGGAGCAAACGGG